GCAACCCGUCAGCAAACUUACACCGAAGAUCUGAUUUUUGCAGCAUAACCAUGGGCCGGAGAAUCAUCAGCCGCGGCCCAUUGCGCUUGCUUCUUUCGCUAAUAUAGCAUAUUAUUUUGCAGUAUAUUCACGCUGUCCAAGAGUCAGUCGCGCCUCUCCUGUUUCCUUACCUCCCGUCACUGCAGAAUUUUUGUUUUUUAAAAAGGAAGACUCGAAGGCUUCCCCCCCCUUUAAAUGGACAUACUGGAUCUCGAAGAAGAUAAGUUUCAUGAAUUCGAAAGAAACUUGCAGUGAAUUCUGGGUACCUGGAUUUGUUUUCUAG
rnacentral:lncRNA from 1 species